UCUGGUUCUCGUAUAAUCACUGAAGUUAAGCAACAUAGAGCCUGUUCAGUACCUAAAUGGGUGAUCUUUAGGGAAUAACAGGUGCUGUAAG